ACCAGUAGCUAACACCCUGCAGCCUAAGACCGGUCACUCACUGAAGCUAAGCAGGGCUGAGUCUGGUCAGUACCUGGAUGGGAGACCACAUGGGAAAACUAGGUUUCUGUUGGAA
rnacentral:rRNA from 1 species